rnacentral:rRNA from 1 species
GACGGGUGAGUAACGCGUAAGGAACUUGCCUCUUGGUCUGGGACAACUGUUGGAAACGACAGCUAAUACCGGAUAUUAUGAGAUUCUCGCAUGGGAAACUUAUGAAAGCUAUAUGCGCCAAGAGAGAGCCUUGCGUUCCAUUAGCUAGUUGGUGGGGUAACGGCCCACCAAGGCGACGAUGGAUAGCCGGCCUGAGAGGGUGAACGGCCACAAGGGGACUGAGACACGGCCCUUACUCCUACGGGAGGCAGCAGUGGGGAAUAUUGGACAAUGGGCCACAAGCCUGAUCCAGCAAUUCUGUGUGCACGAUGAAGGUCUUCGGAUUGUAAAGUGCUUUCAGUUGGGAAGAAGAAAGUGACGGUACCAACAGAAGAAGCGACGGCUAAAUACGUGCCAGCAGCCGCGGUAAUACGUAUGUCGCAAGCGUUAUCCGGAUUUAUUGGGCGUAAAGCGCGUCUAGGCGGAAAAAUAAGUCUGAUGUUAAAAUGCGGGGCUCAACUCCGUAUUGCGUUGGAAACUGUUUUUCUAGAGUACUGGAGAGGUGGGCGGAACUACAAGUGUAGAGGUGAAAUUCGUAGAUAUUUGUAGGAAUGCCGAUGGAGAAGUCAGCUCACUGGACAGAUACUGACGCUAAAGCGCGAAAGCGUGGGGAGCAAACAGGAUUAGAUACCCUGGUAGUCCACGCCGUAAACGAUGAUCACU